AAAAUACGACCUAAAACAUAUAUAUUUUAAAGGUUUCUUCUAUUCAUUGCUUAGCAUUUGGAGACCCUAUUAAUUUUUUCCCCUUCUCUUUUCUUGUGUAGUGUGAAGCCAUGCUCAGAGCCAUUGCCCUAAUGAGGCAGCCAUUCUAAACACGUACAGACAAAGAAGUGGUUUCCUUAGCAACGAGAGCCAUGCCAAAGCUCUCAUAACAGUUAUUUUCCCCUGUACUUGGGUUUCUUUUCAGUUUAGGUUGCCUGUUAGGCAAUGCCUCUGAACACAGCCUGACAGGCUUUUCAGAGAUUAAGUCCCCUCAGUGCAUGAAGUAAUAAAAUAUAAUUAAUGCUGUAUUUGUAUAUUUAGGUAAAGAAUGAGAAUGACAGACUGUGUGCCCUACCUGUAUCUACAUGGAAACUUAAAACAAUGGCUGAUGCAAUCUUACUAGGCAAACUGAGGAUACUUAGGUUUCAGAAUAUUCCAUGGAACAGAAAUCCCAACUUUCAACCAGCUCUUCUAUCAAGUACUUCCUCCAGGUUUGUUUUUUUACAGUAGGAGAAUAAAACACACCAUUACUAUAUCA
rnacentral:lncRNA from 1 species